rnacentral:rRNA from 1 species
AGGCAACCUGCCCUCAAGCUUGGGACAACUACCGGAAACGGUAGCUAAUACCGAAUAGUUGUUUUCUUCGCCUGAAGAGAACUGGAAAGACGGAGCAAUCUGUCACUUGGGGAUGGGCCUGCGGCGCAUUAGCUAGUUGGUGAGGUAACGGCUCACCAAGGCGACGAUGCGUAGCCGACCUGAGAGGGUGAUCGGCCACACUGGGACUGAGACACGGCCCAGACUCCUACGGGAGGCAGCAGUAGGGAAUCUUCCGCAAUGGGCGAAAGCCUGACGGAGCAAUGCCGCGUGAGUGAUGAAGGUUUUCGGAUCGUAAAGCUCUGUUGCCAGGGAAGAACGCUUGGGAGAGUAACUGCUCUCAAGGUGACGGUACCUGAGAAGAAAGCCCCGGCUAACUACGUGCCAGCAGCCGCGGUAAUACGUAGGGGGCAAGCGUUGUCCGGAAUUAUUGGGCGUAAAGCGCGCGCAGGCGGUCAUUUAAGUCUGGUGUUUAAUCCCGGGGCUCAACCCCGGAUCGCACUGGAAACUGGGUGACUUGAGUGCAGAAGAGGAGAGUGGAAUUCCACGU